UACGAAGGGGGCUAGCGUUGUUCGGAAUUACUGGGCGUAAAGCGCACGUAGGCGGAUAUUUAAGUCAGGGGUGAAAUCCCGGGGCUCAACCCCGGAACUGCCUUUGAUACUGGGGUAUCUCGAGUCCGAGAGAGGUGAGUGGAAAUUCCGAGUGUAGAGGUGAAAUUCGUAGAUAUUCGGAGGAACACCAGUGGCGAAGGCGGCUCACUGGCUCGGUACUGACGCUGAGGUGCGAAAGCGUGGGGAGCAAACAGGG
rnacentral:rRNA from 1 species